rnacentral:rRNA from 1 species
UGCAUCCUACGGGACGCAGCAGUGGGGGAUAUUGCACAAUGGGGGAAACCCUGAUGCAGCGACGCCGCGUGUGGGAAGACGGUCCUCUGGAUUGUAAACCACUGUCCCCAGGGACGAAGAUGACGGUACCUGGGGAGGAAGCUCCGGCUAACUACGUGCCAGCCGCCGCGGUAAUACGUAGGGAGCGAGCGUUGUCCGGAAUUACUGGGUGUAAAGGGAGCGUAGGCGUGACUGCAAGUUGGGUGUCAAAUCUACCGGCUCCACCGGUCGCCGCACUCAAAACUGC